GCAACGCCGCGUGAGUGAUGAAGGUUUUCGGAUCGUAAAACUCUGUUGUUAGGGAAGAACAAGUACCGGAGUAACUGCCGGUACCUUGACGGUACCUAACCAGAAAGCCACGGCUAACAACGUGCCAGCAGCCGCGGUAAUACGUAGGUGGCAAGCGUUGUCCGGAAUUAUUGGGCGUAAAGCGCGCGCAGGUGGUCUCUUAAGUCUGAUGUGAAAGCCCCCGGCUCAACCGGGGAGGGUCAUUGGAAACUGGGAGACUUGAGUGCAGGGAGAGAAGAGUGGAAUUCCACGUGUAGCGGUGAAAUGCGUAGGGAUGUGGAGGAACACCAGUGGCGAAGGCGACUCUUUGGCCUGUAACUGACACUGAGGCGCGAAAGCGUGGGGAGCAAACAGGAUUAGAUACCCUGGUAGUCCACGCCGUAAACGAUGAGUGCUAAGUGUUAGAGGGUUUCCGCCCUUUAGUGCUGCAGCAAACGCAUUAAGCACUCCGCCUGGGGAGUACGGCCGCAAGGCUG
rnacentral:rRNA from 1 species